rnacentral:rRNA from 1 species
GUAGGUGGCAAGCGUUGUCCGGGAAUUAUUGGGGCGUAAAGCGCGCGCAGGCGGUUCUUUAUGUCUGAUGUGAAAGCCCACGGGCUCAACCGUGGAGGGUCAUUGGAAACUGGAGAACUUGAGUACAGAAGAGGAAAGCGGAAUUCCACGUGUAGCGGUGAAAUGCGUAGAGAUGUGGAGGAACACCAGUGGCGAAGGCGGCUUUCUGGUCUGUAACUGACGCUGAGGCGCGAAAGCGUGGGGAGCAAACAGGAUUAGAUACCCUGGUAGUCCACGCCGUAAACGAUGAGUGCUAAGUGUUAGGGGGUUUCCGCCCCUUAGUGCUGCAGCUAACGCAUUAAGCACUCCGCCUGGGGAGUACGGCCGCAAAGGCUG